GUAGCUGUUGCCUCUCAAUGAGCAUUAUUACAAUGCAGAAGAUGGAAGUGGAUUUUUGGCAUGGAGACUUAAAACUCUGCAAAAAGAAGCAUCGGAGGGUCGGAUGAAACGCCCACGGCAAUCACAAACAGGAGGGCCAACUGCUGAAAGGUAUCCCUGCAAAGGAGAUAGUUUGUUAAAUGAUGAACUUCAGUGUCAGGAAGCAAUUGCCCUGAUGAAGCAUACAGCUGACGAGGCAGUGGUAAAGGAAAAGAUGAGGUUAACACUGGCCUAUCGCCAGAAGCUGCUUCACGACCCUAAAGAGUCAACUGAUAUUCUAUCAAUUUUCCCACGAUUCCAGGAUAUACCAGGCUUGGUAUGUGAGAAUUCUAAAGAUAAAGACAUGCCUGUAUUUCAUGUAAUCCAGAAUAUUGUUGUCAAAGAUGAACAUGUCCUUUUAAUAACAACUGCACUGAAAACUGUUUGUUUAGUUGAACAUAUUCAUGCUUACAAAGUUGCACAUACCGUAGAAGCACCUUGUGUUUUGGAUGUGAAGGAUAUU